GACGAACGCUGGCGGCGUGCUUAACACAUGCAAGUCGAACGGAUCACUUUUACUUCGGUUUUGGUGGUUAGUGGCGAACGGGUGAGUAACACGUGAGUAACCUGCCCUUCACUGUGGGAUAACGAGAAGAAAUUCUUGCUAAUACCGCAUAUGACGCGUCCUCGCAUGGGGGUGUGUGGAAAGUUUUUUCGGUGGGGGAUGGACUCGCGGCCUAUCAGCUUGUUGGUGGGGUAAUGGCUCACCAAGGCUUUGACGGGUAGCCGGCCUGAGAGGGCGACCGGCCACACUGGGACUGAGAUACGGCCCAGACUCCUACGGGAGGCAGCAGUGGGGAAUAUUGCACAAUGGACGAAAGUCUGAUGCAGCAACGCCGCGUGCGGGAUGACGGCCUUCGGGUUGUAAACCGCUUUCACCAGGGGCGAAUUUGACGGUACCUGGAGAAGAAGCACCGGCUAACUACGUG
rnacentral:rRNA from 1 species